AUUGAACGCUGGCGGCAUGCCUAACACAUGCAAGUCGAACGGUAACAGGAGCUAGCUUGCUAGCUCGCUGACGAGUGGCGGACGGGUGAGUAAUGCGUAGGAAUUUACCUCAAAGCGGGGGAUAGCCCGGAGAAAUCCGGAUUAAUACCGCAUGUGCUCUACGGAGGAAAGCGGGCCUCUACUUGUAAGCUCGCACUUUGAGAUAAGCCUACGUCGGAUUAGCUAGUUGGUAGGGUAAAAGCCUACCAAGGCGACGAUCCGUAGCUGGUUUGAGAGGAUGAUCAGCCACACUGGGACUGAGACACGGCCCAGACUCCUACGGGAGGCAGCAGUGGGGAAUAUUGGACAAUGGGCGAAAGCCUGAUCCAGCAAUGCCGCGUGUGUGAAGAAGGCCUGCGGGUUGUAAAGCACUUUUAUCAGGAAAGAAAAUCUCGGGGCUAAUAUCCCCGGGCCUUGACGGUACCUGAUGAAUAAGCACCGGCUAACUCCGUGCCAGCAGCCGCCGUAACAC
rnacentral:rRNA from 1 species